GACUUACCAACCCGAUGCAAACUGCGAAUACCGGAGAAUGUUAUCACGGGAGACACACGGCGGGUGCUAACGUCCGUCGUGAAGAGGGAAACAACCCAGACCGCCAGCUAAGGUCCCAAAGUCAUGGUUAAGUGGGAAACGAUGUGGGAAGGCCCAGACAGCCAGGAUGUUGGCUUAGAAGCAGCCAUCAUUUAAAGAAAGCGUAAUAGCUCACUGGUCGAGUCGGCCUGCGCGGAAGAUGUAACGGGGCUAAACCAUGCACCGAAGCUGCGGCAGCGACGCUGAUGCGUUGUUGGGUAGGGGAGCGUUCUGUAAGCCUGCGAAGGUGUGCUGUGAGGCAUGCUGGAGGUAUCAGAAGUGCGAAUGCUGACAUAAGUAACGAUAAAGCGGGUGAAAAGCCCGCUCGCCGGAAGACCAAGGGUUCCUGUCCAACGUUAAUCGGGGCAGGGUGAGUCGACCCCUAAGGCGAGGCCGAAAGGCGUAGUCGAUGGGAAACAGGUUAAUAUUCCUGUACUUGGUGUUACUGCGAAGGGGGGACGGAGAAGGCUAUGUUGGCCGGGCGACGGUUGUCCCGGUUUAAGCGUGUAGGCUGGU
rnacentral:rRNA from 1 species